rnacentral:rRNA from 1 species
UAUGGGCGUCGACCGGCGCACGGGUGAGUAACACGUAUCCAACCUGCCGAUAACUCGGGGAUAGCCUUUCGAAAGAAAGAUUAAUACCCGAUGGUAUAAUCAGACCGCAUGGUUUGAUUAUUAAAGAAUUUCGGUUAUCGAUGGGGAUGCGUUCCAUUAGGCAGUUGGUGAGGUAACGGCUCACCAAACCUUCGAUGGAUAGGGGUUCUGAGAGGAAGGUCCCCCACAUUGGAACUGAGGCACGGUCCAA